UUCACGCUGUUAUCUGAAAUACCGGACACGGACUUAAAAGGAUGCAGAGGAGAUACUGAUGUCUUGGUUGCAUCAAAGGAUACAACUGAGUGUCUACUGCCAUGGGAAACUUCAGACUGACGAGGUCUUCCAGGCUUGGCAUCCAUUUCUGCCUCAACACGUUUCUUCCAUGUAUCAACCAAGCUCCUUGCCUUUUUCCCAAUUUCUGAGUUCUUAUGUGAUCGCAAUCGAUUAACAGACUUCCCAAUGUUGCAAGUCUGAAGAGCAUUGAGGUUCACAGGCAGCUUGUCAAGAGCACGUAGUAAAAUCAAAAGAAACUCGUCCACUGAUCUAUCAUUGUCUUUGGGACUGCUCCCAUCCCCAAUUUUCCUUCUAUGAAUCUCCUGUAGCCACUCAUCAAAAACAGAUAAACCCCUCAGCUGGACGAAACGACUGAGACAGUCAAACUUGUCUGUUGCAGCUACAGCACUUGCAAGAAUGGACCGCCCAAUCAAAUCUGUCUUCUUCUCAUUCUUCUCAGGUAGCAUGAGCUGUACCAAUUUCUCAACCCCUUCAGAAUCCACUAGCCUCCCUCUCUCAGUAAUUUUUGCAAUCUCAGACUUCAAACUGCUUUCUUUUCUUACAAAACCAGAACCACCAUCAUCACCUCGGCUCGGACGUUCCCUUUUCACAGAUUCAGAACCCUGAUCACCACGCUCUCUCUUCCUUCCCUUGCCCUGUGAAGAAGAGGAGCUACUGUUCUGCAUACCUUCUGUUCCUGUUUUCACUUGAGAUGUUGUUAACCUAGGAGAACAACCACACUGCUGUAAACUCUUACACAAUAAGUUAUCUACUUCUUGUUGACGUUCCUGCAUAAAAAAAAAAGACUUGUCAAAACCAGAGAAGAAACAUAAUUGGAUAACGAAUUUUAAUCACUCACUCACUCACAUCGAUAUAAUCUUGAUCAGUGAGCCACCAAAUAGACUCAUUCAUAACAUCAUAAACCCUCCAGCAAACAAACGAAGAGAUUCCAGAUGGGAGUUCAACGCCUCUGGGAAGAAAGGUAACUUUACACGGAUGAAGCAAAGACGCAGCAGGUAUCUCAUCCUCGUGAAAGGAGUAAAAGAUCUCGUUAGGCUGAGCCUCCAAAAGGACGCCCUUCCCAAGCUUCAACUCACCGGGUCGAUACAGCCAAUUCACACGAACCUUAAAGCUGCCUCCUUCUUCUCGUUCCGGAACCAGCAAACGGAUCAAACCAAUGAACGGUGGACAAUCCUGAGGCGGCUUGAACAGAGCACAGUCACCAACACUAAUCCUCCUCCCGUCCUGCAAUAACCAUCAUCAAAAUCAAAACUUUAAAUCAAAUCGGAACCAAUCAAAAGCCAAUUGAGACGAAUCAAGUUACCUUAGAGAAGGAAGAAGGUGAAGAAAGAGAGAGCGACGAAGAAGAAGAAGAAGCGGUUGAGAUUAGACGCGAAGGAGGUCUAAGCAUAAGCAGACGACGAUGACCUUUCUUCCUCCCAUGCAUAGCCGUCUCUCAUUUUUUCCCCUUUCGAAUCAAAACAAACACAAUUUCGUCUUCCUUGUCAGAAUUGGUUUUCGAUUAAAAAAAACCCUAAAAUUGAGAUUAAAAGAAGAAGAUGCGAUUCCUUAGGGAUUGAUUUUUGAAAUCGAGUACCUGAUCCAAUCAACCCGCGAAGAUCCAACAGCGAGAAGAAGAAGAAACCCCCGUAGAGUGCGAGACACGAAUCGAAAGCACGCCCUUGUUUGUUUUUUCGAUCCAGCGAAGAAGAAGAAGAAGAAGAAGAAGAAAAAAAAAUAAAAUCGAGAGAGAGAGAGAGAGAGAGACGAAGGCAAAAGGGGGGUACUACGAGUCGGGGCAGUUCGGGCAUGUGUUUCGGGCAGCGUUUUUAUUUAUUUUGUUUUUGGUUUUCUGGUGACAUUUGAGUGUGUUUUUCUUUUCUCCCCCCUUUUUAUAGCUCUUUUUGAUUUUUCUAAUUUUUUCCUAAAUUUAAAACAAAACGAACUUCGUGAUUUAAAAAAAAAAGUUAUUUGGGUUAAACACAAAAAAAAGUCUGAUCAUUUAUAAAAAUCAAACGAAAUUUAGGAUCAUUUUUAAUCAACAAACUCAAAAAUAAAUGUGAGUACUUUAUAAAAUAAAAUUAGAGAAAUGUUCUGCUCAUUUUGUUUCAUAUAAUGUAUUUUAAAAAAUGUUCUCGCGUAUUUAAAAUUGAAUUAGAAACUCUAUUUUAUCCGUUGACACACUUUUUUAUUUAUUUAAUACACUAAUACAAUAAGGUUAAAAAUGAACAUUUAUUUAAAUUUUGUAUUGAAAAUAAAAAACGACACACUUUUUGAAAUAAAAAUAAAACUCUAAACACACUUUUUAAGAAACUGGGAAGUAUUAUCUAAUAUUUAUAGAAGAAAAUAUCACAUUCAUCUAAAAAUAGAAAAAAAAAUAUAACAUAUUGGAGUAAAAUCUUCAUUUUCUGUAUCUUUAGAUAUGUGCACAUUUUCUUGCCAAGAAGAUAAGAAAUAUUGAAAUUUUCUUUUUUCCAUGUAGAUCAGAUCUGGUCUGAGAGAGCGUCUCUUUGGAACGUAUCAGCCAUGACUAAUACUUAUCUUAUAAAAUAAGUGUCGUAAAAAAAUGGAGUAAAAUUCCUAUGUAUUUGAAAAAUUCUAUUUUUAGUGGAAAAAAACUAGAAGAGAGAUUAUCUAUAUAGCAAGCAAACUAAAAUUAUAAGCAUGAAUAAGUUGUUUCCACAAGUUUACAAAACCGAUCAGUUUAUAUAAUAAUUUUGUGAUUUGAUCCAGUUUAUUCUGGCUGAUUACGGUUUGAAUGUGGUGACCUACCCUCCACAACAAGUUAUGUUUGGUUAUGAUUUUUAUGCGAGGAUCUUUUGGUUACAUUGUACAGUGUCAAAUCACUGUCAUCAAAGUACAAGUCAAUCAUUGUCUCUCUUUGACACAGACAUUAACUUUUUUUACAAUGAGACUAAGAAGCUAUUUGAGUAGCUUCCAGUGACAUGUCUUCUUCACUCACCGAUAGCUCCAAAACAUGUUCUUCACAAGGCACAAAAUAUGUAGAACAUCUCAAAGAUUUUGAGACAGUAAGGUUAAGCUAACUGAAGGUUCCAUAUUUGCAUAGGUGACAAGACUAGUCAAAAUUGGCAAUUGGAGAUGGUGCAAAAGAUGUUAGGAAUGCUUCAAGAAGCAGAUAUAGGAGUUGGGAUCAGUGGAGUGGAAGCAAUGCAGGUUCUUUAAAGAAUCUUAGGACAACCAUUUGCACGGUUUUGUAUCAAGGUAUAAUGAAUCAUUCAAAUCAAAAAGAGCUGCGUAGUUUGCUGUAUAGUGGAGUUUCUUAACCCAAAGCCUUGCUUCGUUUGCUGUAACUGUUCCCUAUAUUGUACCAGGAAGUGGUACAAAAUCUCCCCUUUGGUUGUUACAUGGCUUCUGCAGCACAAUAACCAUUUUCUUCCUCUGCAAAACCUCUCUUGAAUCCCAAGCUUUCAACCACCAAGGGAAAACCGCAGGGGAGAGAGAGAUUUUUGGAGGAACUAUGUACACAUGUGGGUUGAGUUAGCAGAUGGUACAAUCAGUUACUACCUGUUAUUGCAAAUUUGCAAUAUAUGAGCCAUUUUGUUAUAACAGAGACAAAGUUCUGAAAUGUGGAUUCAAACAUAACUAACCACAAGUAAAAAAAAUCUACAAAAGAGUUGCUGCUGACUAUAUAAUACACAAACCAUGUCAGAUUUUACCAGUCUCAUACCAACAAUGACCAUCAUUUUUUCUUUUACAGCAGAGCUCCAAAAAAAAGAGAAAAAAAAAACAUAAACUAAACACUCGCUUGCAUCUCUAAAAGAGAUAAGGAACUAAGUUAGCGUCUGCUUUUAUCUUCAAGAGUACCUAAGAGCCAACAAAGAUUGAAUUAGAAACACAGUCAGCGAGAGAUAAUAUAAAGAAACAGAAGAUGGUAGAGCUGAAAGAAGAGAGUAAAAAUAUGCUUACAUGCUUAGUGCAACGGCCUACAAAGAGAUUCUGAGGUUUGUUAUUGCCAAGAGGGUUGCUUGUAUCCAUCCCAUCCACCACUGUCUGGUUCCUUCCUCUUGAGAGUACCACCAAACAUUUGAUACAUUCUUGCUUCAUCUUUCAAGGGUAAAGAACCAGAGGAAGAUAGCUGUCUUUGUACAAGUGCUGCUUCAUCUCUGCCAUCAGUUUCAUGCCCUCCUGGUCCAGAGUUCAAGUCAAGACCAGAUCUAAACCAUUUUGCAUUGUUGCUGCUGUCCGAAACUCCACCAUUGCUACUACCGUUUGGGAGAUUAACGACAUAAGGUCUUGGGUAGUUAGAAGGGAUGGCAACUCCUGGACCCAAUAUUUGAGAGUUGACAGGAGGGAAGCAUAGCCUGCCACUUGAUGAAGAGUCCAUGUAUGGUGUUGAAGCACCUGAAAAAUUUGCUGAGGAAAGAGGAAAGCUGGAACCAAAAGGAAACCCAGGAUACUGAAAUGCUGAUGGUGGGAAUGAAACUGCUGGAGAAGACAGUAAAACAGGGCCUCUGUACAUAUCAGGUGUAUAUGAUGAAACUUCAGAUGUUGGACCAACCAUUCUCUGCGGUCCAUUGCCACGUUCAGGCAAGACUUGAGGAAUGCUCAUUGCUGAAUAAUUGUUAACAGCAGGAAACCAAGAUGAGAAGCCAGGCCUUAUUCCACUGAUCAUUGGCUGUGCACUUCGGGAAUUUUGACUAAAACCCAGAGAUGACUCAACAACGUUAACAUCAUCAACAGCAGGUCCAUCGUUUAAAUCAAAAUCCCUACUACCACCAGAAGAUAAGUUUGUCUGUUGAAAAGUUGAAUUCACCCGAUGACCACUGCUUACCGUAUGAUUAUUCAUAUCGGCUGGAUCAUCAAGUCUGUUUAGAUCAAGAUCCAGUACGCCACAGGGAUUUGUGGGAUUGGCAAAUCUUUGGGAAGGCAGAUCUUCAAGAACUCUUUCAUCCGGUACAUUUAGGUCGAAGUCCAAGAAUGUCUUUGUUUGCUUGCCAGCGGUUGUAGAAGCAUCACAGGAAGCCACAUUAUUCAUGCUUAGUGGCACCACCUCUUGGACUUUUCUUGGCUCAGCUGGUCGGAAGGCGCUAGUGGCAGCAGAUCCUCUCCACCCAACAGCUGGUUUAUUUCUCAACAGAUCAUCACGCGGAACAAAAGCACCCUUUGCAGCAGCAGCAACUGUAAUGGAUGCAGGAGGUCGACUGGUUUGUAAAGGAGUAGAUGUCAAAGACAACGAUCCAGAGAAGUUACUUGAAUUCUCCUUUCGUGUGUCAUCCCCACUGAAAGCUUCAUUUAGGUCAAAUUUAACUCCGGCUUCCAGCUCUGACCCUGCUAAAGCUGAAACUGAGGGAAGAUCUUUGGCAGCAGAGGUAAAUUCCUCUGUUUCAUGCCCAUCAGCACAUGUUGUCGUGGCGCACUGUUUUCCGACUUCAGCACUCUUUAGAGACGCCUCCACAUGCUCAACUUCAAUCUUAGUUACAGAUGAAUCCAGAUGAGCUGUCACAGGCUUGUUCUUUUUAUCUGUCUGGUUCACAUGAUUAAUCCCCACGUCCAUCUUUUCUGCAGCUAUGCCCUUGGAGAGCUUGGACGAAACAGUUACAUCUUCAGCCGUUUCUUUAUCCAAUUCAGAACUCAAGACUACCGGGGGUUUAUGCUCUUCCUUGUUAUCAGAGUGUGAAUUUGCAACAACCAAGGAUUCUACUUUGGGACAUAAUACGAUGGCUUUACAUUCAGCUGGCGCAGAAGUUUCCACUGAUGUACAAGCAGCCUUUCGAUCGUUAGCUGUUCCACCACAAUCAUUAUCAUCAGACAAUUUCUCUGGCAUCGAUCUAUCAACAUUUUCAGUACUCCUAUCCUUGGCAAACUCUGACAAAACUGAAACCACUUCACCCAUUUUAUUAACUAGCUCAGAACUUAAUAUCACCUUUGGUUUAUCUUCCACCUGAGCACCACCAGCAGCCUCCAAGUGUGAAUCUUCAGCAGUCAAAGAAUCUGCAUUUUGACUUUUGCCAAUGGUUUUACAUAUACGUAAGGCAGAGUUUCCUGUCCUCAUCACUGUAUCUGCCACUCCAUCUGUCUCUGAUAUCUCUUCAGUCUUUUGGUCACUAACUACCCCACUAUCACCAUCAUCAGAAAUGUUUCCCCCAAUGCCUGAUGUGUGCCCAGCGGUUGGGGCAAUAUCAUCUGAAUUUUCAUUGCUUUCUAGGCACUGAUCCACCAAUCUUUGCAACUCUUCGAUUUCUGAAUCGGAGUUAUCAUCAAGAUCUCCCGGCUUAGAAUCAUUUUCAUUCUCUACAACGGCCAACUGCUCGCCACUACUACUGACAUGUUCAACAAUGGUGGGAUUCACAUUCUCAGCUUGCUCGCUAGGCAUGCCAUCCAAAGAAUCUGAAACCCGAGAUACCGAGGGUGAUGCAACAGGGGAUUUGGACAUUUCAUCAGCAGCAACAGUAGCUAGAAGAUUCAUUCCAACAUCAUCUGCACCAGCCACACAUGCAUUCGCCUCAGAGUCCCUGACACAACUUUCAAUCAAAGCAUUCAUUAAGCUGUGUGAUUCACCAUGUCCUUUUCCAGUUUUGACAUCAUCUCCUGAGGUAGGAGACGUGGGCUUGACAAUAUCUUCUAUUUUACUAGACUCAUUAACAGCCUUCUCGUGCCCAUCACCACGUUCACCACAUUUAGGCAGCUUAACCAUCAACUUAUUGCUACAACCUUCAGCUUUCUCAAAAGUUACAGUUCUUUGUGAUGAGAUGCUCCUGCUCAGCCCAACUUCUGCGUGGACUGCAACAGUAUUUCUUUGCUGCCCAACGUUAGCAACAGCAACACCUGUUCCAGGUGAUGGGGCUGAUCUAGUAGAACUUGGAGAGGUGGUUGCAGACUUCACGCUGUUAUCUGAAAUACCGGACACGGACUUAAAAGGAUGCAGAGGAGAUACUGAUGUCUUGGUUGCAUCAAAGGAUACAACUGAGUGUCUACUGCCAUGGGAAACUUCAGACUGACGAGGUCUUCCAGGCUUGGCAUCCAUUUCUGCCUCAACACGUUUCUUCCAUGUAUCAACCAAGCUCCUUGCCUUUUUCCCAAUUUCUGAGUUCUUAUGUGAUCGCAAUCGAUUAACAGACUUCCCAAUG
rnacentral:lncRNA from 1 species